rnacentral:rRNA from 1 species
GACGAACGCUGGCGGCGUGCUUAACACAUGCAAGUCGAACGGAAGGGCCCUUCGGGGUACUCGAGUGGCGAACGGGUGAGUAACACGUGGGUGAUCUGCCCUGCACUUUGGGAUAAGCCUGGGAAACUGGGUCUAAUACCGAAUAGGACCGCGGCAUUCAUGUGCUGUGGUGGAAAGCUUUUGCGGUGUGGGAUGGGCCCGCGGCCUAUCAGCUUGUUGGUGGGGUAAUGGCCUACCAAGGCGACGACGGGUAGCCGGCCUGAGAGGGUGACCGGCCACACUGGGACUGAGAUACGGCCCAGACUCCUACGGGAGGCAGCAGUGGGGAAUAUUGCACAAUGGGCGCAAGCCUGAUGCAGCGACGCCGCGUGAGGGAUGACGGCCUUCGGGUUGUAAACCUCUUUCAGUACCGACGAAGCGCAAGUGACGGUAGGUACAGAAGAAGGACCGGCCAACUACGUGCCAGCAGCCGCCGCGGUAA